rnacentral:rRNA from 1 species
GACAGAGGUGCCAAGCGUUAGGCGGAAUCACUGGGCUUAAAGCGUGUGUAGGCGGACUUGUAAGUACCUUGUGAAAUCCCACGGCUCAACCGUGGAACUGCUCGGUAUACUGCUUGUCUUGAGCCACUUAGGGGCUGUCGGAACAAACGGUGGAGCGGUGAAAUGCGUAGAUAUCGUAAGGAAGACCAGUGGCGAAGGCGGGUCUCUGGACAGUUCCUGACACUGAGACACGAAGGCCAGGGGAGCAAACGGG